GGAGAAAGGGACAGAGAGAGAGAAGGAAAGAAAGAAAAUAGAGUGGAACUACAAAUGUUAAACCUUGAGUAUUAAGGAUCUGUUCUAUAACCAGUGUCACAAUGGCAAACUAACUCUCCAAAAUAGGGGGGAAACAUGUAAUAAAUCAGAAGAAAACUAUGAUUUCAAUCUAACCUUGAGUUUAUAAAUCUCAUUCAUUCUUUGCUUCCUUAUGCGUAGAAUGAGGAAUCCCUUGCAGGGAUAAAACCUUCAUUAUUUUAUGAAAUGAAAUGAGGUCUUUUAUGAUCAAGAUUUAAAUUAUGUUCAUUAACGGUUAUAGCUUUCUAGUUUCAUUGUCAGGGCGUGGGGACACAAAACAUCUGCCAUCUGCUUGCUAGUGGUUGCUGACUCGUAAAAUGGCAUUUUCCCUCUUCUCUUUACAUAAUCAUCACUGAGACUAGUUAAGUGAUUUGACUUUGCCUUUUUAACACCUAGUCUUGAGCCUACUGUGAGGAGUCAUCUAAUAAGUCAAAUAUCUGUAUAACUACUGUAAGCAUUUUUUAUAUCCAAAUUUUUUUUCCUCCAGG
rnacentral:lncRNA from 1 species